AGCUUUGCGCAGUAGCAGUAUCAUAGCCAAUAAGGUUUAUCUGAGGUGCAAUUAUUGCUAAUUGAAAAAUACCUGACCUUAGAGUGCCUGAGUGGCUCAGCUGUUAAGUAUCUGCCUUCGGCUCAGGUCA
rnacentral:snRNA from 1 species